AGUGGAAACCAAAGUUGCAUGGGAUGAGGACAACUGGUUCUGCAAGAGAAGCUCAUGUGCUCCUGGAUCCCAGCUUGCACCAUCUUGUCACAGUUUCAGCUGUACUAUUUUGAAAGGCUUUGAAGUCCUGUUUGCUGAAGUCGCUUGGGCAACCGAAGUCCCAGUCACUUUCAGGAAGAUGGGAACUCCUGGAUUCCUGCUGUAAGAAGCAGCAUGUUGAUUACUCCUUCAUCUAAAGAUUCUUGAAUACUGCAUCUGGGGUCAAAUGUUUUUGAGAGGUGACAGGAAAUCUUCAUUACUUCUUAUUUGGACAUCUGGCCAGUGAACUGAUCUUCAGUCAUCUUGGGCUACCUCUGCUUCAGAGGGCAGGACUUCACUGUGAAGGGUCAGAGUCCACCUCUUCAGGCUGUGGGGUCCUUGGAGCAGCUCACAGUCCAUAGCUGGUGCUUUUGGACCAGAUUGCAGAGCAUGCAGGACCCACUAAUCCCUGGAGGUUUAGCCAACUACUGCCAAAUCCUGCUGACCUCUGUGAGAAUUUCCAGCAGUUUGUAUUUUGGUGAUGUCCUGGGUCAGACUGCAUCUUCUCUGCUUGUCAUCUUGGUUCCAUAUAGUAGUCUACAGAACAACCCAUUUUCAUCUCCUCUUGGGUGUGUGACAGUUGCUCUUCUGGUAAAUGAGGAGGAGAUGCUUCCCAAGCACGGAGAGCCACCCAGGAUGCUCAUGUGGGCAUUUCUGUAGCACAAGAUCUUUGGUCAGUACAGAAACAAACCUUCAGCUCAAACAUGCUGAACCACAGCACCACGAAGGCUGCAGGCAGAGGUGUCAUUAACAUAUCCAGGGAUGUUGCCUCCAGGUGACUACAGACAGCAUUACCAUCAUGUACAAUCACAAGCAAUGUGCUGUGACAUUCCCUCCUCCCUGACUGGAAGCUGUUGACCUAUGGAGCUUUCCUAUUAGAUUAAUUUAUCCACAGCUCACCUUCAGUGAAUGCUUUUAAUUGACAACCUGACUGAUCUACCUCUCGCGGAAGAUGAGCACUGACAUCUUGUAGACUGGUUUUGUUUUUGAACUGCAGACAUUUAGAAAGAAACAUAUUUACUGCAGAUGUCGAUGCAGAAGAUUCGAGCCUGCUAUUCUCAAAAAGGACAUGUCAAAGGCUAUGGCUGGACCUGGUUUUGCUCCUGUGCUUGGUCUGAUUGCCUGAAUGUGGCCACCUUGGUCCUAUUAUUGGGAUUUCCAUGUCUGUUUCUAAGAGCUCUGUGGAACGCCACCUUCCUUUGCUGCUUUUCCUGUGCAGAGCUCUGGAUCCAGGCUUGUCCCCAGCUCUCAUGCCAGCCAGCUCUCACUGUUAGGACAUGCUUAUUCCCCUCUGCAAACUUUUCACCAGGGCCAGGGAGCAACAAGAAACAUCUACCUGGCUCAAUACAGUUGACUUUCAGUUGGAGAUCUCACAUGCUAAAGGUGAAAUACUUCGGCCUCUGCUGUAGCUCAGUCAGAGUCCAUGUGCAGCCUCAAAUGGAAGGAGCAUUGAUAUAUUUACAUUCCUCCACCUGAGAUCUCAUAAACGGUGAUAGAUAUUAUCCCUCUGUCUCUAUUACAGGCAAGAAGGAAGGCUCCCUCACCAAAAUUCCCA